UCUUCUUUUUUUUUUUUUUUAAACGCCGCCGGAAAUUGAUUCCCCAGCCACCGCCGAUCGUUGCCGGGAGGUGCUGCUGCCCGUCGGAAGAUGCUGCCGCCCGUCAGGAGCUGCUGCCGUCCGCCGCUUGCUGGAGUCGCCGGCCACCGCUGCUGCCCGCCGCGUCUGACCGCCCGCCGUCGCAGGGAGGUCCAGCCGCCGGGAAGAGCUGCUGCCGGAGUCGCCGGACAGCACAGCUGCUGUCGCGCCGUCGUCCCUCCCCGUCGAGCCGCUGCCGUCGCUUCCUCCUCCCCGAAACCACUCCGAACCCGCCCGGAAACACUCCGAAAAGACCCGCAAGUGUAAUGUGAGGAGUUAGAGAAGAGUAUAAAUUGAGAAGUGGUGGUGAUUCUUGGUUUGUGGGCAUUGAUGGUGGAAGAUAGAAGGUGAAGGAGUUGGAGAAGAUGAAAAGUGGAAAGUCUCCAUGGGUGGAGGGGGAAGGAAUGGCCAUAUGUGUGAGGAAGAAGACAAACAUUUUUUUGGGCUUGUUCCCAAUUGUUUGGAAAGAAGAAUUGGACUCCCAAAUUAAAUUAAUUGAUUUGGGCUCAUUAAGUUGCAAGCCCAAUUUGUAUAAUUAUUUAGUUGGUCAUGGCCCCCAAGCCAUUUAAAAGAAACAUUUGGACUCUACUUUUAAUUUGAGAAGCCCAAGAUAAAACCGUACUUUAUUUUCUCGCAUUUUUUUCGAUAAUUAAAAAUUCACGGAGCUUUAAUUAAUUUCGUUAUCUUGUCUCCAACAAAGAUUAAAAUCGCCAAACGCAACAAUUUAUA